GCAGAGUAGACAUCCGCGCGUGAAGUGUCAGUCGGACGGGGAGUUGCCGCUGAACGAAAAGUGUUUCACUUGCGGUGCAGAUGUCGCAUCCCGCUGC
rnacentral:ncRNA from 1 species